rnacentral:tRNA from 1 species
GGAGGAAUACCCAAGUCCGGCUGAAGGGAUCGGUCUUGAAAACCGACAGGGGUGUAACAGCCCGCGGGGGUUCGAAUCCCCUUCCUCCUCCA